CGUCCAUUGUACCUCUCUCCUGACCAAUUAGCACUUGGACUCAGGACCUUUCACCCUCUUGACCUCACAAAGUUGCCCUCGAGGCUAGGAACAUCCGUCACAGUUUCACUGUUCAGUCAUCCAGGCUUAAACAAGGUUAGUCACUGACUGGAUUGUGGGGACGGCUCUAAGGUUGCAAACCGAGGUUAUCAGAAGGAUGGUAAUAUCGUCAAUGGAAAUAAGGGGGCUCAGAAUGAAGAUUUCAGAGAUACAGAGAGUGAGGUCAGAUUUAAACAUGUUGAAUCUGACAUUUCUUUGGAAUAUCGAUCUUUAAUUGUCCAGCAGGGGAUUGCUGAUCCAAGACUAGAGCUCAGGAGAAGAACUUUAGCUGCUCAGGACUUUAUCCCAGUUUAUACAACAGCUGAGCUGCAAAGCUGGCACUAAAAUUUGCCAAGUGAAAUGUUAAGAUGAUCACCCUUAUCUGGAAUAAGAAUAUCAUUGCAUUCAAGAGAGAAGGGUCCCCAGAGAAGCUGCCUCUCUCCAUCACUGAUGAUCACCAAUGAGACAGUACCAUCAAGAUGGCGAUGAGUGGAAUGGUGAGGACAUGGCUGGGACGGUAUCCAUUUUUGGAUCAGGUAAGUCCUACGGGUGGGAACUCGCAUGAACUCUUCAGAGGGGUCGACGGUCAGUUCACAGUGUCCAAGAAGGCUGCUACUUAUUUGGACUGGAAAGCUGGAGAUGUCACAAUGUUUCUAACUCUCCCUGAAGAGCUGCCUUUGGGCACGAAACUACUGUUACAUGUAGGUCACUCCAUCCAGACAACACCAGGAGCCAGCUCACCCGAGCUCGUGAACAGAAGGAUGCCAGCCAGUCAUCAUAUCUUCCUACAGCAAUUGAUACAAAGAUCUUAGUGUGGUUAAAGGCAGACGUCUUAAGGCUGCCAUACCAAUGACUUAUUCAACAGAAACAGCCCCACAAAGUCACCUGGUUCCUCUUGAUGUGCCUUUCCCAGCAUUCUGGUAGAAUCACUGAAUUUUAGCUCGA